CCCGCACUCUCCUCCCCCUCCUGCCUCUCCUCUUCCCCGCCUACUCCUGCUGUCGCCGCCGCCGCCUCCGCUCCUGCUGUCGCCGCAUCGCUGCCCCAAACCCCUGCCACAUCGGAGAGAAAUCCAUGGCGGUGGACAAGCCCGGCGGCGGCGGGGCCUCCUCCUCCUCGCACGCGUCCACCACGGACCGACCGCGUCAGCAAGAGGAGAGGAGCAGCAGCCGCAGCGCGUCCUCAGUCCGGCCUCGACAAGAGAAGGGGAGCAGCAGUCCGACCUCGUCGCCACCUCUCCUCACCUUCUCCCCGGUUCCUGAUCUGGAGUGGGAGGGACGCACGGCGGCGAGGCCAGGCUACCCUUGACACGCAUAUGUGGAAUGUUCUCACUAUCAACUCUGGAAUAACUAGCAAGUAGUGGUGUCAAUGGCAUCCGUGGGAGCCAUUUUGGUGGCACAUGGACAUCACGUUCUGGAAUAAAGUAAGUCUCACAAUCAACUUGGGAAGAUGAGGCCAUGGAACAAUAAAUAACUUGGCAACGGAUAUCCUGUGGUCUACAAUUAUACUGUAAUUAUGUGUGCACUUUGGAUCUAUUGGAUGUCUGAAUGUAUUGUUAAUCGACAACUACUGAUGCAAAGGAGAUGUGUGUCGAGAGGCACAUGAAUACGCACGUGGGCUGUUUUUCAGCAUGGUAGUCUAAAAAACUGUGGUAUUCUCAGAAAAUGCUUUGCUAUCAAACAGGGCAAGUGCAGAUUUCCUUGAAUAUAGUUUAUUUUACAAUUGUGUUGCCAACGUGCUUCCUGUUUUAUCACCAUCAAAUAGUUCUAGGUGCUCAUAUAAAAUUUAGUGGCGUGUAUAAGUGAUUGUAGUGCAGUUUUGUUGAUCUGCUUGCAUUUUCAGCAUUAUAGUGUUGAUAUACUAUCUCAAUAAAACAGUGAAUACGUAUAAUAUGUACAAGCUACAUUCAAGUUAUGGCAGUGUGCCUGGGUAAGACGAACCGGUAAUCUUCUGCUAGCUGAAAAAAACUUGUUUCGUCUUUACAUGUGUUUCUUGUUGAAACUCUUUUUCGUCUUUGCAUGUGUUUCUUGCUGAAACUCGUGAUUUUCAAGUUAUGGCAGUACAUAUGUCUACCCACUUGCAUGACUUCCGAUAUUGUCCUUAUUUUGCUCCUCCUUAGCCUUGUUCUGUUAGUGCAGUUCUUUUAAAUAGCAGGGACAGAGUCCCAGAAAACAUGCCUGAUUGCUUUUCUUAGUGGUGCACUUGCAAGUAUAUGUGGUCGUUUCUGUUAGUUUCUCAUGCUUUUCUACAAAGUGAUAGGUUAAUAAUGUCAUCAACAAUUUUUUCCUUAACUGAUCAAUAUCUUAGAAGUUGUCACUCAUUAGUUUUCUUUUCCUUAUCUGAUCUCUAGCGAGUAGAGUGAUUUAUUUUCGCAAUACCUAAUUCUGAUCAUAGGUAAUGAAAGAUUUGUUUUCAUUAAAUGAGAUUCUUGUUUUGUGUUGAUUUUGCAAAAUUUCUGUAGCCUCAUAUUUGCUCAAUCCAAUAGACACAUUUUAAUCAACCUUUAGUAUAAUGUUAAUAAUAUGCUUUUAGAAAAAGGGAGAUGCCAUUUAGACCUUACUCUGUCCAACUUGAUCUUCAACUUGCCGCUACUGUUUUUAAGCAUUUUCCCGAAAACUGUUGUAUUUGCUUUAGAGAAUGAGCUCACCUUACUCAGAAGAUAUGCCAAGUAAAAAAUUAGAAAUUGAACAAUUAGUUCCGCUCUUAAAUUUUGCACAACAGUCCAAAUUAUCCAAUAAAUUAUGUGUUAGCAGGGUCAGAUUAUAGAAGUUGAAUCACUUGUUCUAAAUUACCCAAUCCAAAUUAUGGAUGUUAAUAAUAUGCUUUCUGUUAGACUAUUAGUCAAAUUGUUGAAAGCCGGAGCAGGGUUGAGGAGCCGGCCUCCGCCUUUGGCCAUUACGUGAGAAGCAACACCGGUGUUGGCCGUUACCGUGUGCAGAGUGCGUGAGUUAGUGAUUUAAUUCCAUCCUUUCCAUCUCAUGAUGUGAUUUUUCCUUUAGGAUGAAUUAGUAACUUUGUGUGGAGGUGGCACCACUACCUGCUGGUUGGUGUAAUGCCGUGCUUGACAGGGUGAUCUGCAAUUCCGAGUUUGUUUAAUGGCUUAAUGUCUAAGCACUCAUCCCC